rnacentral:rRNA from 1 species
AGCGAACGUUUGCGGCGGGCCUAACACAUGCAAGUCGAACGCACUAGCAAUAGUGAGUGGCGCACGGGUGCGUAACACGUGGGUAAUCAACCCUUCAGCUUGGGAUAACGACUUGAAAGGGUCGCUAAUACCGGAUACGGCGCGGGAGGCUUCGGCUUCUCACGAGAAAGCCUCGCAAGGGGCACUGAAGGACGAGCCUGCGGCCCAUCAGCUAGUUGGUGAGGUAAGAGCUCACCAAGGCGAAGACGGGUAGCUGGUCUGAGAGGAUGAUCAGCCACACUGGAACUGAGACACGGUCCAGACUCCUACGGGAGGCAGCAGUGGGGAAUAUUGCGCAAUGGGCGAAAGCCUGACGCAGCCACGCCGCGUGAGCGAUGAAGGCCUUGGGUCGUAAAGCUCUGUGGGGAGAGACGAAGAAAGCCCGUGAAGAGCGGGCCUUGACGGUAUCUCCUUAGCAAGCACCGGCUAACUCCGUGCCAGCAGCCGCGGUAA